GGAAGAUGGGCUGGAGCUGGGUUCUGGUCGUGGACACCGGCAGGUUCUCCCUCCCCCUUGGCCCUCCCCCAGGUCUCUCGGGACAAAUGCUGGACCCAGAAGCCCAGUUCCCGGACCUGGGAGAGGAUGUCUCCUUCUCCAGGCCCCACCCCUCGCCGCCCUGUGGUCCUCAGCCUGGAUAGACCCUCAGCCUGGGACCUUCAGCCUGGGUGGACCCUCAGCCUGGAUGGACCAUCAGCCUGGAUGGACCCUCAGCCUGGGACCUUCAGCCUGGGUGGACCCUCAGCCUGGGUGGACUCUCAGCCUGUGAUCUUCUGGAGCUGGGGGUCUCCUUGAGGGUCAAGAAGUGGUGCCAGGGGCACGGCCAGAUGUCCUGGAGAGGACUGCAGAGUGUCCCAUCAAAGGACAGGGCUCAGCCUUGGCUAAGGAAGAGCGCACAGAGCUGGCGACAGAGGAAACCAAGGCCGGGCCUAACCAGCAGCACAGGCGUGGAGCCGGCAUGGGGCUGCCUGACGAGCGUCCUCCCCGGAGGAUGGAUUGGGGGUCCUCUCCCUCCACCCUGGCCCACCCUAGCCCAUGGAGCUGGUGGGGGGGCCGGGAGGGAGGCACCUCAGGGGCGCGGCCUCGCUGCUGAAAGCUCUGUGGUUCUCCGAGGACAGGGCAUCCUGGGUGAGGUGGCUGGGACGUGGGGCGCAGGCUGGGCAUGGGCUCAGGGAGG
rnacentral:lncRNA from 1 species